AGAGUUUCGAUCCUGGCUCAGGACGAACGCUGGCGGCGUGCUUAACACAUGCAAGUCGAGCGGAAAGGCCCCUUCGGGGGUACUCGAGCGGCGAACGGGUGAGUAACACGUGAGCAACCUGCCCCUGACUCUGGGAUAAGCCUGGGAAACUGGGUCUAAUACCGGAUACGACCACCGAUCGCAUGGUCUGGUGGUGGAAAGUUUUUUCGGUUGGGGAUGGGCUCGCGGCCUAUCAGCUUGUUGGUGGGGGUAGUGGCCUACCAAGGCGACGACGGGUAGCCGGCCUGAGAGGGCGACCGGCCACACUGGGACUGAGACACGGCCCAGACUCCUACGGGAGGCAGCAGUGGGGAAUAUUGCGCAAUGGGCGGAAGCCUGACGCAGCGACGCCGCGUGGGGGAUGACGGCCUUCGGGUUGUAAACCUCUUUCAGCAGGGACGAAGUUGACGUGUACCUGCAGAAGAAGCGCCGGCUAACUACGUG
rnacentral:rRNA from 1 species